AUGAACUUAACCUGCUAAAUUAGCUCCUAGAUAUUGUAUCAUGUCUAAUCUCUUUCUGCAGGUACUGGUGCUGGAUAUUUUUGGAUAGCAGAUGGGGGAAAACAAGAAAAAGUACUCAUGGUGCAUUAGUCAUCUGAGGUCCAGUCCUGUCCUCUACAUACCCAGAGGAAUUGAAUACUGGCAGCAUAAGCAGCAUCUGCUGUCACAUCAGAUACGGCUUUCUGCACAUGGAGAAACUAACUAGAGUGGACAACACAGCUGCAUUUUAUUCCCAAUUUGGCUAUUGAGAUCCUGGCUGCAGGAUCUUGGGUGUCUCACUUCACAUAAUCAUUGGCAUGACAUGUGGCAUGCUACUUGGAGACUCUGAAGACCUAGAAUCUUCAGCUCAGACUCCAGAUGAGCUCAGCUUUCCAAAAUCAGUUCUACCAACUCCUACCCUCCGGUACCAGGAUGAUCAGCAUAGCUGAAGGAUGUCACAAAAUUAUGAGAAACAGAGUCUGACUCUGUCACUCAUGUUGGACUGUAGUGGCACUAUCAUGGCUCAUUGUGGCCUCAAACUCCUGGGCUCAGGGGAUCCUGCUGCCUCGGCCUCCCAGAGUAGCCAGGACCACAGGUAUGUACCACCAUGCCUGGCUAAUUAAAAAAAAAUUUUUUUUUUUGCAGAGACGAGGUUUUUUCAUAUUGCCCAGGCUGGUCUCAAACUCCUGGUCUGAAGCAAUUCUCCUGU
rnacentral:lncRNA from 13 species